rnacentral:rRNA from 1 species
AUGGAUUCCAUCUUAGCUAACGGUACCUGGGAGAUCACUGACCGUCCUUAUGGGUGUAAACCUGUAGGAUGUAAGUGGGUGUUCAAGAAGAAGCUUAGACCUGAUGGUACGAUUGAAAAGUACAAGGCACGGCUUGUGGCCAAGGGUUAUACCCAGAAAGAAGGUGAAGACUUCUUUGAUACUUACUCACCCAUGGCUAGACUGACCACAAUUCGGGUGCUACUAUCACUGGCUGCCUCACAUGGUCUUCUCGUUCAUCAAAUGGACGUUAAGACGGCUUUCCUCAAUGGAGAGUUGAAGGAGGAAAUUUACAUGGAUCAGCCAGAUGGUUUUGUAGUACCUGGUCAGGAAGGAAAGGUGUGCAAGUUAUUAAAGUCUUUAUAUGGCCUUAAACAAGCUCCUAAGGAGUGGCAUGAGAAAUUCGAAAGAACAUUAACUGCUGUCGGCUUUGUAGUAAACGAUGGUGACAAGUGCGUGUACUAUCGCUAUGGUGGGGGCAAAGGAGUUAUUCUUUGUCUGUAUGUCGACGGCAUAUUGAUCUUCGGAACCAAACUUGAUUUAAUCAAGGAGGUUAAGGAUUUCUUAUCUUGUUGUUUUGAGAUGAAGGAUCUAGGAGUAGCUGAUGUUAUCUUAAACAUCAAGUUGUUGAGAGAUGAGAAUGGUGGGAUCACACUGCUUCAGUCUCAUUAUGUGGAAAAGGUCUUGAGUCGUUUUGGGUAUAGCGACUGCACGCCUUCUCCAACUCCAUAUGAUGCUAGUGUGUUGCUUCGAAAGAAUCGACGGAUUGCUAGAGAUCAAUUGAGGUAUUCUCAGAUUAUUGGCUCGCUUAUGUAUUUGGCGAGUGCCAUGAGGCCUGACAUCUCUUUUGCUGUGAGCAAGCUGAGUCAGUUUGUGUCAAAACCGGGAGAUGAUCAUUGGCAUGCGCUUGAGAGAGUUAUGCGCUAUUUGAAAGGCACCGCGAGCUAUGGGAUUCACUACACCGGGUAUCCAAGGGUACUAGAGGGUUAUAGUGACUCAAACUGGAUAUCUGAUGCUGAUGAGAUUAAGGCCACAAGUGGUUAUGUUUUUACACUUGGUGGUGGCGCUGUUUCCUGGAAGUCUUGCAAGCAGACCAUCUUAACGAGGUCAACUAUGAAAGCAGAACUCACAGCAUUAGACACUGUCACUGUUGAAGCAGAGUGGCUUCGUGAAAUCUUGAUGGACUUAUCUAUGGUUGAAAAACCAAUACCCCCUAUCCUGAUGAACUGUGAUAAUCAAACUGUGAUCAUCAAGAUAAACAGUUCUAAGGACAAUAUGAAGUCCUCAAGGCAUGUGAAGAGGAGACUAAAAUCUGUCAGAAAAUUGAGGAACUCUGGAGUUAUUACGUUGGAUUAUAUCCAAACGUCGAAAAACUUGGCAGAACCCUUCACAAAGGGUCUAUCACGUAAUGUGAUAGAUAAUGCAUCGAUGGAGAUGGGUUUGAGACCCACCGCAUGA